UACCAACAAUUAAACGUUAGUAGUACGAUUGUAACCUUCUUCAUCUAUUUCGACUUUACCAAGGUUGUUUCUAACUCUACUCCAAUGACUAAUGGUGGGUAUAUGAACGGAAAAGUGAAAACCAAUGAUCCCGAACCCGCCGAGCUCUCUGAAUUUAUGACUAAAGUCUCAGGUCUUCUUAAGUAAGUCCAAAAUCCAAUGAAUCCCUUACUAUCCUUUAGUUUAGUUUCUUUCGAUCAAAGCACUAAACAUUUUGAUCUUAUUAAGGCUUGUGGAUUCCAAAGACAUAGUGGAACUUGAACUGAAGCAACUCGACUGUGAGAUCGUUAUUCGAAAGAAGGAAGCUUUACAGCAAGCUGUACCACCAGCUCCAGUUUAUCACUCGAUGCCUCCUCCAAUGACAGACCUUUCAAUGCCUCCAGCUCAACCAGUGGCUCCUCCUCCUUCUCCGACUCCUUCCUCAACCCCUGCAACAGCAAAACCAACAACCGCCCCAUCCUCAUCUCAUCCUCCACUCAAGAGUCCUAUGGCUGGUACUUUCUACAGAUCUCCUGGACCUGGUGAACCACCUUUUGUCAAGGU
rnacentral:lncRNA from 1 species